CGGCGGACGGGUGAGUAACACGUAGGCAACCUGCCUGUAAGACUGGGAUAACUCGUGGAAACGCGAGCUAAUACCGGAUAACACUUUUCAUCUCCUGAUGAGAAGUUGAAAGGCGGCUUUUGCUGUCACUUACAGAUGGGCCUGCGGCGCAUUAGCUAGUUGGUAAGGUAACGGCUUACCAAGGCGACGAUGCGUAGCCGACCUGAGAGGGUGAUCGGCCACACUGGGACUGAGACACGGCCCAGACUCCUACGGGAGGCACCAGUAGGGAAUCUUCCGCAAUGGACGAAAGUCUGACGGAGCAACGCCGCGUGAGUGAUGAAGGUUUUCGGAUCGUAAAACUCUGUUGUUAGGGAAGAACAGGUGCUAUAGUAACUGAUAGUACCUUGACGGUACCUAACCAGAAAGCCACGGCUAACUACGUGCCAGCAGCCGCGGUAAUACGUAGGUGGCAAGCGUUGUCCGGAAUUAUUGGGCGUAAAGCGCUCGCAGGCGGUUCUUUAAGUCUGAUGUGAAAUCUUACGGCUCAUCCGUAGACGUGCAUUGGAAACUGGGGAACUUGAGUGCAGAAGAGGAGAGUGGAAUU
rnacentral:rRNA from 1 species